rnacentral:rRNA from 1 species
GUUGUAUAGUCAAGUAAUUAAGUGCAUGUGGUGGAUGCCUUGGCAGUCAGAGGCGAUGAAAGACGUGAUAGCCUGCGAAAAGCUCCGGGGAGGCGGCAAAUAUCCUUUGAUCCGGAGAUGUCUGAAUGGGGGAACCCACCUACUUUAAGGUAGGUAUUGCAACAUGAAUACAUAGUGUUGCAAGGCGAACGAGGGGAAGUGAAACAUCUCAGUACCCUUAGGAAAAGAAAUCAAUUGAGAUUCCCUCAGUAGCGGCGAGCGAACGGGGAUCAGCCCAUUAAGUUAUGUGUGUUUUAGUGGAACGCUCUGGGAAGUGCGAACGUAGAGGGUGAUAUUCCCGUACACGAAAGGGCACACAUAAUGAUGACGAGUAGGGCGAGGCACGUGAAACCUUGUCUGAAUAUGGGGGGACCAUCCUCCAAGGCUAAAUACUCCUGACUGACCGAUAGUGAACCAGUACCGUGAGGGAAAGGCGAAAAGAACCCCUGUGAGGGGAGUGAAAUAGAUCCUGAAACCGCAUGCAUACAAGCAGUGGGAGCACCUUCGUGGUGUGACUGCGUACCUUUUGUAUAAUGGGUCAGCGACUUAUAUUCAGUAGCGAGGUUAACCGUAUAGGGG